CCCGCUGAACUUAAGCAUAUCAAUAAGCGGAGGAAAAGAAACUAACAAGGAUUCCCCUAGUAACUGCGAGUGAAGCGGGAAAAGCUCAAAUUUAAAAUCUGGCGGGCUUUCGGCCGUCCGAGUUGUAAUCUGGAGAAGCGUUUAUCCGCGUUGGACCGUGUACAAGUCUUCUGGAAGGGAGCGUCAUAGAGGGUGAGAAUCCCGUCUUUGACACGGACUACCAAUGCUUUUGUGAUGCGCUCUCGAAGAGUCGAGUUGUUUGGGAAUGCAGCUCAAAAUGGGUGGUAAAUUCCAUCUAAAGCUAAAUAUUGGCGAGAGACCGAUAGCGAACAAGUACCGUGAGGGAAAGAUGAAAAGCACUUUGGAAAGAGAGUUAAACAGUACGUGAAAUUGUUGAAAGGGAAACGUUUGAAGUCAGUCGCGUCGGCCGAGACUCAGCCUUGCUUCCGCUCGGUGCACUUCUCGGUUGACGGGUCAGCAUCAAUUUCGACCGCCGGAUAAAGGUUGAGGGAACGUGACAUCUUUCGAGGUGUGUUAUAGCCCUUGAUUCGCAUACGGCGAUUGGGAUUGAGGAACUCAGCGCGCCUUUAUGGUCGGGGUAGCAACCCACGUAACGCGCUCAGGAUGCUGGCAUAAUGACUUUAAGCGACCCGUCUUGAAACACGG
rnacentral:rRNA from 1 species